AUUGUCGGUAUUCUCGUCGAGAAAAUGGCAAUACACUUCAGAAGUGACGGUCAUUUUUUCAGGACAGAGUUGCCAGAACG
rnacentral:pre_miRNA from 1 species